rnacentral:rRNA from 1 species
AUGAAGACGUCGGCGAUCAUACCGAGUUGCAGCGGCGACAUCGGGCUAUGGGACGGGAGAUAUAUAACGAAGGAGGAGGGGUGGAUUGUGAAAAACCAUAGGCACCGGAUGAAGUUUUGGAUGAUACAAAUAAUAAAUUUGGAAAAUACGAAACGGCUUCGGCGACCCAACUUGUCGGUGGUGCCAAAGUACACGGGCGAGUAUAAGAAGAUUGUAGAGGGGCGCUACGCAUCCACGCCAAUGUUGCACAAGGCGUUGGCGAUCCAACCGAGUUGUGAUGAAGCCAUCAAGCUAUGGAGCGGAAGACAGAUAACGGAGGAGAAGGGACGGGUUGUGAAAAAUCAUGACCACCGGAUGGGGUUUUGGGUGGCUGAUAGUACCAACAAUAGUUUUGGAAAAUACCAAACAGCUUUGGAUUCAAAUUUACACGCCGACGCCUGGUCAAAAAGAAAAAGACCACCUGCAGCCGAGAGGCUAGAUAGCCAAUGCCCACGCAACCUCUACAGUCUACAGACGACAGGCGCUCCGGCACUACCGUCCAACCAACCACACCAACCCACCGCCAUGUCACUCCGGCGCCUGCUAGGCUUCUCCGCCACCGUCUCCGGCCGCCUCCCCCUCCGCCGCUGCCUCUCCACCGCCGCCGCACCGCACCCACCAUUGCCCCGCUCCCCCUCCACCGCCGCCUCCGCCUCGAACCCGUCGCGCCGCCACUCCCUUCCCACCGCCGCCGCUUCGCACCCACCAUGGGGCCGCCCCCUCUCCACCGCCGCCCCCAAGCACCCUCCAUGGGCCAUGAUUGACUACAACUCCCUCGUCGACGAAUCGUUGGCGGCGCCGGGCGCGUGCUUCGGCCCCGUCGAGCCUCCGCUCGUCUCCCGCAUCACCGCCCCGGCGCACCUCCUCAACCCCAGGGAGCGCCCCGCCGCCGACAGCAGCGUCGUCCAACUCGUCACCGGCCACGUCAACGCCGCCAGCGGCGACGGCCACCUCCUCCUCACCUGCUACGACAUCCUAGGGGAGGGUCCCCGCGAAUCCUGGAACGGAAACGCCGACGUCGAGGCCGAGCGCUGCAUCUGCAACCCUAUCAGCGGCGAGGUGCUCCGCCUCCCGUACCCCGGCGGUCCCGCCGGGUCCAGGAAGAACCUGGGCCACCGCCACAUGGGCCUCCUCACCCAAGUCGGCGGCGGUUGCGGGCACGGCCCCCCUGACAGGUUCGCCGUCGCCGACAUCGUCAGCCAGCGCGACCGCAUCGUCGAUCGGUUCCUCCCGGAGGUAGGCAGGUGGGAUCUGCUUCUUGGCGUACCAUGCCAGCCGCCGCCUGCGUGGGAGAUGGAGAUGGACCAAGAGACGGUGGCCUUCGCUGGCCGCCUCUGGUGGGUCGACCUGACCUGCGGCGCCGUCUCCAUGGACCCGUUCAGCAACCAGCCGGAACUCCGCUUCGUCCCGCUGCCGAAUGGCACCUCGCUCACCUUCAUUCUCAUGGAACACAAAGACUCGAGCGCGGAGCAUCUUGCCCAGUUCAGGCGGGAGGUGGCCAAGUACCGGCGCAUCGGCGUCAGCGAGGGGAGGCUGCGCUUCCUUGACGCGUCCAUUCACGACCCGUUCCUCCUCAGCUCCUAUGUGCUCGACGACGAGGGCAGGAGCUGGACGCUGGAGCACCAGGUGGAGCUCAGGAAGGUCUUGGAGGAUGGAGGCCACCCGUGGGAACAGGGGAAGAGGCCGGCGCAGAUCGCCGUCAUCGACCCGCUCAACGCCGACAUCAUCUACAUCACCGUCGGCGAGCAGAAGCACAUCGUCGCCGUGGACAUUUACCAGGAGAAGGUGAUUGGGAGCUCUCCGCUUCAAAACCAAUACCAUUCGCUUGUACCAUGCGUUCUUCCACCCUGGCUUGGAUCAAGCCAGAUCCCUACGGCAGAUGUUGUGCUGUUGUGGAGAAGUCGAACCCCCGAGCCGCUCCCGCGAGCGUCCUCGGGGGAAACCCUAGCCGCCGCCCCUCGUCCUCCCUCGUCGACUUCUCCCCCCGCCGCCACCGCACAGCGCCGCCGGGCAAAGACCGGCCGGCGUUGGUGGCGGCGGGGAUCUUGCCCCUCUCCUCGCGGUUGGCGUUCGGCGCGGGACGGCGCUGGGCUGGGCGGGGCCCAGCGGCGUGGCGGAGGGCGUGCUGGGUGGCGGCGCCCCUGCCUGGCGGCGGGGCGGCUGCGGCUUGAGGCCUCUCCAACGCGCGGCGGCUGCGGCUUCUCUAGUGGCGGCACGAGUUAUCCCGGCGGCGGCUUGGCGGCGUGGCGCGGCGAAGCUCCGGCGAUGACUCGGCGGUGGGCUGGAGGGCUCGGGUCCGUCCAGUGGUGCUGCCUCCGCGGCGGUUGCGGCUUGGGGCCCUGGACCCCGAUCCGAUCUAGAUCUGGUGGUGCCGGGGUCUGGGCCAUGGCGGCUGGCAAGGGGAAUCGUCGGGGCUUGUCGGCCUCUAGGCACCAUGGGGGAACUGUCUCCAUGCCUUCAGAAUGGCCGCUAGGCUAUAAUCAGCGUCGUCCUAGCAACGAUUCUUCUGAGAAAGUACUGAAGAGGCUAACAUUGAACCAUUGUACAGGUUGCAGACGGAAGGUUGGUGCUUUCUUGAAGGAUGUGGAAGAAUCAUCUAAAGUUUAG